rnacentral:rRNA from 1 species
UUGAACUAUUUAGCUGAUCGCACGGUCUUCGAACCGGCGACAUAUCCUUCAAAUGUCUGCCUUAUCAACUUUCGAUGGUCUAUUAUGCGCCUACCAUGGUUGUAACGGGUAACGGAGAAUCAGGGUUUGAUUCCGGAGAGGGAGCCUGAGAAAUGGCUACCACAUCCUACGAAGGCGCGGCACGCAAAUUACCCACUCCCGGCACGGGGAGGUAGUGACAAAAAAUAACAAGCUGGUCUCUUUGAUUUCCGGCCUUGUAAUGGGAACAACUCAGAUCAUUUAUCGAGGAUCUAUUGGAGGGCAAGUCUGGUGCCAACACCCGCGGCAAUUCCCGCUCCAAUACCGUAUAUUAAAGUUGUUGCGGUUAAUAAG